UGAGGCAGGAGAAUUGCUUGAUCCCAGGAAGUGGAGGCUGCAGUGAGCCGAGAUUGCGCCACUGCACUCCAGCCUGGGUGACAGAGCAAGACUC
rnacentral:miRNA from 1 species